UACGGAGGGUGCGAGCGUUAAUCGGAAUUACUGGGCGUAAAGGGUGCGUAGGUGGUUUGAUAAGUUAUCUGUGAAAUACCUGGGCUUAACCUGGGCAGGUCAGAUAAGACUGUUGAACUCGAGUAUGGGAGAGGGUAGUGGAAUUUCCGGUGUAGCGGUGAAAUGCGUAGAGAUCGGAAGGAACACCAGUGGCGAAGGCGGCUACCUGGCCUAAUACUGACACUGAGGCACGAAAGCGUGGGGAGCAAACAGG
rnacentral:rRNA from 1 species